GUCAAGGACUGGAAGUCAGAAAGGCACGCAGGACGAACAGAAAUGCCAGCCAUUGGUGAAAAUAAUCGCUAGCAAGGGAGCAUUGUCCCCUCGAUGGGAUGGACCUCAUGAGGUUUUAAAGGGCUGUCUUCUGUAAUCACCAACAAACAGCAGGAACAGGAUCCUUCACCCCCGGAAGGGAACUGGAAUAGAUUAAAUUUGCAUAUAUGUGACGUAUGCAUGGUGGAAACUGUAAUUAAGAAUAUUGCUGAAAUUAUAUACGACUGGGAAAGGGCCAUGGACCAAGGCAGGUAUCCUGAAUAUGCACCACCAAGUCAACAGACAACUACUGGAAUGAUAAAAGGAAAUGACCAGUGUAUCGAAUGAUGAGAAGACGAUCAUGAAUGUGGCUUCACUGAAGGAGGAAUACUUUUUGCUUGCUUACAAAAUCGCAGACUAAGCAAAACUAAAGAGCCUGCUCGCACAGGGAAACAUAAUAGGACCUUCGAACAAGAUGACUCCGAGGAUCAAAUUGAAGCAACUGAAGUAGCUGUAUAAUUUUACAUGUUAUAACCAACUUUACAACAUAAAUUAACCUUACAGCAAUUAGUUAAAACUAACUGUCAUUUGUACAUUUACAUAUAUAAUUCAGACAGUGAUAAUUAUUAAAGGAAUAACUGAAUUUGAUGAAGAUAAGUACAUGAAAUGCAAUUUAAGCUGCCCUUAGAAAUAAACAAGCCUGAGACAGAUCCAAAGGAGUACAGCUGGUAACUUUGGAAUGCAAAUGAACAGGAUGCAUAGAAAGAUCCCAAAGCCUAGGGACUACAAUGUCUGGUAAACGCCACAAACCGUGGGAACCUAGGGCUGUCAAUCAGAAUGCCCAUCAUUGAUUGGCAUCACGUUGGGUGGGGUAUGUGGAUUAAGGGGGAUCUUUGUAAUAGAA